GGAACUUAAAUAUGCAGCAAUGUGCUGUCCAGACUGUGACCGUCCAAAGAUUUUCAAGGACCUAAUGCCACAUAUCAGUGAUCGGCACCCAGAACUGCUGUCAAACGCCGAUGAAGCAUCUAGACAUUUCGAGAUGUCUGACGGCAAGUCUUUGUACUCCCUUCCAAGAGCUCCUGAUGAAACAAAGCUAGAUCGUGAGAUAGUGACCUGUAGACACUGCAACACCCCGCUGGAAACGAAAGAGGUCGAAGAACACGAGAAAAGGUGCCCAGAUCGCUGGCUUGGAUUGUCCCUUUUGUAAAGAACAAGUGGCUGCCAAAAAUAUUGGAGUUCACGUCACGACUCACUGCCCCGCAAAAGAAAAAAGGAGACAGUUCAGACGUUGAGAACACAGAGGCUAAGCAACGGCUGUAACGUCAGCAACAGGAGGACAGAACUGAUUGGUGAUGUCCAGGAAAUGAAGGAGAGAAUAAAAGAGCUAGAAGACACGAUGAAUCGGAUUGAGAAGCCAUUACAGAAGAUUAUUGAAAGACUUUCCCGAGAACAAUAGCAAAUUGACUGCUAAAUGCCGUUCUCUAAGUUUCCGUAAUUCGAUAGUGUCUAUACAGAAGUGAAUAGUGCUUCUGGACGACAUCAUAGUAAUAGCGUUCAGCGAUCACUCACGAUAUUGUGCUGUACAAAUCUCUUACAAAUUGUUAUAAAUAGUACUGUAUUUACGUAAGAAGCUGCGCUGCCUCCUGACCAAAUAAAAACAAUCCACCUUUAUCCGUGAUCUGUAAUGGCUCGUCUUGCAAAAAAUAUGAUUUUAUUACAACAGGAAGUGUUCAUUUGCAAGAACCAAAAUAAAUAUCGGUAUUUUUACAUGUAUUAAGCAUUCAAGGCAACAGUGCAUCACCAGCAACAAUGCUGAAAAUAAUUUUCCCGAAGCAUAUUUCCAAACUCCUUUCAAUCAUGUCAUUUGUAAACCCCGAUCAUCUUAAGAUAUCUUUGAAACCUUUUAUACAAAAUGAGC